UUAAGCGACUAAGCGUACACGGUGGAUGCCCUGGCAGUCAGAGGCGAUGAAGGACGUGCUAAUCUGCGAUAAGCGUCGGUAAGGUGAUAUGAACCGUUAUAACCGGCGAUUUCCGAAUGGGGAAACCCAGUGUGAUUCGUCACACUAUCAUUAACUGAAUCCAUAGGUUAAUGAGGCGAACCGGGGGAACUGAAACAUCUAAGUACCCCGAGGAAAAGAAAUCAACCGAGAUUCCCCCAGUAGCGGCGAGCGAACGGGGAGCAGCCCAGAGCCUGAAUCAGUGUGUGUGUUAGUGGAAGCGUCUGGAAAGGCGCGCGAUACAGGGUGACAGCCCCGUACACAAAAAUGCACAUACUGUGAGCUCGAUGAGUAGGGCGGGACACGUGGUAUCCUGUCUGAAUAUGGGGGGACCAUCCUCCAAGGCUAAAUACUCCUGACUGACCGAUAGUGAACCAGUACCGUGAGGGAAAGGCGAAAAGAACCCCGGCGAGGGGAGUGAAAAAGAACCUGAAACCGUGUACGUACAAGCAGUGGGAGCACAGAGCAAUCUGUGUGACUGCGUACCUUUUGUAUAAUGGGUCAGCGACUUAUAUUCUGUAGCAAGGUUAACCGAAUAGGGGAGCCGAAGGGAAACCGAGUCUUAACUGGGCGUUAAGUUGCAGGGUAUAGACCCGAAACCCGGUGAUCUAGCCAUGGGCAGGUUGAAGGUUGGGUAACACUAACUGGAGGACCGAACCGACUAAUGUUGAAAAAUUAGCGGAUGACUUGUGGCUGGGGGUGAAAGGCCAAUCAAACCGGGAGAUAGCUGGUUCUCCCCGAAAGCUAUUUAGGUAGCGCCUCGUGAAUUCAUCUCCGGGGGUAGAGCACUGUUUCGGCAAGGGGGUCAUCCCGACUUACCAACCCGAUGCAAACUGCGAAUACCGGAGAAUGUUAUCACGGGAGACACACGGCGGGUGCUAACGUCCGUCGUGAAGAGGGAAACAACCCAGACCGCCAGCUAAGGUCCCAAAGUCAUGGUUAAGUGGGAAACGAUGUGGGAAGGCCCAGACAGCCAGGAUGUUGGCUUAGAAGCAGCCAUCAUUUAAAGAAAGCGUAAUAGCUCACUGGUCGAGUCGGCCUGCGCGGAAGAUGUAACGGGGCUAAACCAUGCACCGAAGCUGCGGCAGCGACGCUUAUGCGUUGUUGGGUAGGGGAGCGUUCUGUAAGCCUGCGAAGGUGUGCUGUGAGGCAUGCUGGAGGUAUCAGAAGUGCGAAUGCUGACAUAAGUAACGAUAAAGCGGGUGAAAAGCCCGCUCGCCGGAAGACCAAGGGUUCCUGUCCAACGUUAAUCGGGGCAGGGUGAGUCGACCCCUAAGGCGAGGCCGAAAGGCGUAGUCGAUGGGAAACAGGUUAAUAUUCCUGUACUUGGUGUUACUGCGAAGGGGGGACGGAGAAGGCUAUGUUGGCCGGGCGACGGUUGUCCCGGUUUAAGCGUGUAGGCUGGUUUUCCAGGCAAAUCCGGAAAAUCAAGGCUGAGGCGUGAUGACGAGGCACUACGGUGCUGAAGCAACAAAUGCCCUGCUUCCAGGAAAAGCCUCUAAGCAUCAGGUAACAUCAAAUCGUACCCCAAACCGACACAGGUGGUCAGGUAGAGAAUACCAAGGCGCUUGAGAGAACUCGGGUGAAGGAACUAGGCAAAAUGGUGCCGUAACUUCGGGAGAAGGCACGCUGAUAUGUAGGUGAAGUCCCUCGCGGAUGGAGCUGAAAUCAGUCGAAGAUACCAGCUGGCUGCAACUGUUUAUUAAAAACACAGCACUGUGCAAACACGAAAGUGGACGUAUACGGUGUGACGCCUGCCCGGUGCCGGAAGGUUAAUUGAUGGGGUUAGCGCAAGCGAAGCUCUUGAUCGAAGCCCCGGUAAACGGCGGCCGUAACUAUAACGGUCCUAAGGUAGCGAAAUUCCUUGUCGGGUAAGUUCCGACCUGCACGAAUGGCGUAAUGAUGGCCAGGCUGUCUCCACCCGAGACUCAGUGAAAUUGAACUCGCUGUGAAGAUGCAGUGUACCCGCGGCAAGACGGAAAGACCCCGUGAACCUUUACUAUAGCUUGACACUGAACAUUGAGCCUUGAUGUGUAGGAUAGGUGGGAGGCUUUGAAGUGUGGACGCCAGUCUGCAUGGAGCCGACCUUGAAAUACCACCCUUUAAUGUUUGAUGUUCUAACGUUGACCCGUAAUCCGGGUUGCGGACAGUGUCUGGUGGGUAGUUUGACUGGGGCGGUCUCCUCCUAAAGAGUAACGGAGGAGCACGAAGGUUGGCUAAUCCUGGUCGGACAUCAGGAGGUUAGUGCAAUGGCAUAAGCCAGCUUGACUGCGAGCGUGACGGCGCGAGCAGGUGCGAAAGCAGGUCAUAGUGAUCCGGUGGUUCUGAAUGGAAGGGCCAUCGCUCAACGGAUAAAAGGUACUCCGGGGAUAACAGGCUGAUACCGCCCAAGAGUUCAUAUCGACGGCGGUGUUUGGCACCUCGAUGUCGGCUCAUCACAUCCUGGGGCUGAAGUAGGUCCCAAGGGUAUGGCUGUUCGCCAUUUAAAGUGGUACGCGAGCUGGGUUUAGAACGUCGUGAGACAGUUCGGUCCCUAUCUGCCGUGGGCGCUGGAGAACUGAGGGGGGCUGCUCCUAGUACGAGAGGACCGGAGUGGACGCAUCACUGGUGUUCGGGUUGUCAUGCCAAUGGCACUGCCCGGUAGCUAAAUGCGGAAGAGAUAAGUGCUGAAAGCAUCUAAGCACGAAACUUGCCCCGAGAUGAGUUCUCCCUGACUCCUUGAGAGUCCUGAAGGAACGUUGAAGACGACGACGUUGAUAGGCCGGGUGUGUAAGCGCAGCGAUGCGUUGAGCUAACCGGUACUAAUGAACCGUGAGGCUUAACCUU
rnacentral:rRNA from 1 species